UGUCAACAAGAGUUGUUGCUGGCCCUCANACGAGGGCAUGUGCACACUCUGUUUUCAUCCACUCACACCUGUGCACCCCUGCAGUUCUACGGUCUGGGAGACCCCGUCUUCCUUCUGUGGUCCUGUGUCUUUACACACACACUGUAACAUGGUCUUAUGGAAUGCAUGCAGCGUUUAACGCAAUACAAUACAACUUUCAGCAACGGAUCUCUUGGCUCUCGCAUCGAUGAAGAACGCANCGAAAUGCGAUAAGUAAUGUGAAUUGCAGAAUUCAGUGAAUCAUCGAAUCUUUGAACGCACCUUGCGCCCUUUGGCUAUUCCGAAGGGCAUGCCUGUUUGAGUAUCGUGAACACCUCAACUCUCAUGGUUUACCAUGAUGAGCUUGGACUUUGGAGGUUUUGCUGGCUUACAGUUGGCUCCUCUCAAAUGAAUUAGCUUACCGGUGUAUGGUGAGCGCCACGGGUGUGAUAAAUAUCUGCUCUUGUGGUGGUACACCAGAUAACCUUCAGCAACUGGAGGUUCGCUGGGGCUUAUAAAUGUCUCUCCUUGUGGAGACGGCCUUCUGAACGUUUGAUCUCAAAUCAGGUAGGACUACCCGCUGAACUUAAGCAUAUCAAUA
rnacentral:rRNA from 1 species